rnacentral:misc_RNA from 1 species
UCCGGCUUAUCACCGGCAGUCUCCUUAGAGUUCCCAGCUUUACCUGUUGGCAACUAAGGACAGGGGUUGCGCUCGUUACGGGACUUAACCCAACAUCUCACGACAUGAGCUGACGACAGCCAUGCAGCACCUGUCUCUCGGCUCCCUCACGGGCACUCUAGCUUCUCUGCUAGAUUCCGAGGAUGUCAAGGGUAGGUAAGGUUCUUCGCGUUGCGUCGAAUUAAACCACAUGCUCCACCGCUUGUGCGGGCCCCCGUCAAUUCCUUUGAGUUUCGGUCUUGCGACCGUACUCCCCAGGCGGAGUGUUUCACGCGUUAGCUGGGCCCCUGAUCCACGUAGACCAAGGGCGAACACUCAUCGUUUACGGCAUGGACUAC